AAAUUUGUUUACCUUCUUAAUGAAAGCAGAUAUCUAUUCCCAACAGCUGUGUAAACAAAUGGAAGUACUGAGAGCCACACUUAUAUGUCACUGGCAUGCUUCUGGAGUCUGACAUUAUGUUAACGAUGUCUCGCCUUUGUUAAAACAGUAUUUCGACAACACUCUCGAGGAAUAAGAGACUGAUUUAAUGAUACACUUUUGGAAAAAAGAUGUAACGGGAUUCACUUAUUAUACUUUCUAACUUAGGAGGAGCGACUUCGCUGUAUGAUUCUUUACAAAUGGAAGAUGUGGGAAAGAGAUCACAGUAUGAAGAGGUGCAACGAUACCAGAACGCUUCAACAACAGCACCAUACGAAGUUGUAAGCGACAAUAAGCAAAAAGUGAGUGGCGACCGCACCUAUGUGAAUUAAGGAGAUGUUCUCUUCCACAACAUCUGACCAUCUGGUCUUGGAGGAAGAUUGAUGAUAGUGACGACAUAUUUGCUAAUUAUAAAAAAAGUAUUUAACAUUCAAGUAGAUCUUGAAAUAAUCGGUAAAAUAACCGAUGAUGAAAGACAUCUUAAAGAAAAGUUCAGUUUGUGUUUAUUUGUAAAUCCAUCUUCUUGGCUUACAAAACUUUGUAAUAAACACACCAUAUGUCUAUUAA